rnacentral:rRNA from 1 species
UACGAAGGGGGCUAGCGUUGCUCGGAAUUACUGGGCGUAAAGGGCGCGUAGGCGGACAGUUAAGUUAGAGGUGAAAGCCCAGGGCUUAACCCUGGAAUUGCCUUUAAGACUGCAUCGCUAGAAUCGUGGAGAGGUGAGUGGAAUUCCGAGUGUAGAGGUGAAAUUCGUAGAUAUCGAGAGGAACACCGGUGGCGGAGGCGGCCAACUGGACGAAUACUGACGCUGAGACACGAAAGCGUGGGGAGCAAACAGG